AUGGCGCCGCGUUUCCUGGCGUGCUUCGGCAGGGGCGGCGCGACGGCCUCGGCGCCGGAGCCUGUGGAGGACCUGGCCCCGGGCCCGGUGCUGGUGGAGCUCUUCUCCUCGCAGGGGUGCGCGGCGUCGCCUGAGGCGGACGCCCUUGUGGCGCGGCUGGCGCAGGAGUCCUCCGAGGCCGGCGGCGGCGAGCGAGCGAUGGUGGUGCUGGGGUUCCACGUCGACUACUGGGACUACCGCGGGUGGAAGGACCCCUUCGCGUCCAGCGCCUGGACCGUGCGGCAGAAGGCGUACGUGGAGGCGCUCCGGCUGGACACGCUCUUCACGCCGCAGGUCGUCGUGCAGGGCCGCGCGGACUGCGUCGGCACCGAGCAGGACAAGCUCGCCCAGGCCGUCCGCGACGCGCCCCGCUACCCCUCGCCCGCCAUGAAGGUGAAGUUCCAGCGGCCGAACCCGAGCACGCUGCAGGCGUCCUUCACGGGCGCGCUCCACUCCCGCGUGGACGGCGGCGGGAGCGUGCUGGUGGCACUGUACGAGAGCGGCGUGAUCACCGACUGCGGCCGCGGCGAGAACAAGGGCAAGUCGUUGCUCAACGACCACGUGGUGCGCCGGCUGGAGAAGGUGGCCGCCGUGCGCGACGGCGCGUCCGCCAGGAAGGCCGUGUCCGGGUCCGUCCAGUUCCCGCUGUGGGACGACUUCCGCGCCACCAAGUGCGGCCUCGUCCUCUUCGUGCAGAACUCGGCGCUGCAGGUGCUCGGCGUCCAGCACUUCGACCUGCCCGACAACGUCUGA
rnacentral:rRNA from 1 species